rnacentral:rRNA from 1 species
UACAGAGGUCUCAAGCGUUGUUCGGAUUCAUUGGGCGUAAAGGGUGCGUAGGCGGCGCGGUAAGUCGGAUGUGAAAUCUCGGGGCUUAACUCCGAAACUGCAUUCGAUACUGCGGUGCUUGAGGACUGGAGAGGAGACUGGAAUUUACGGUGUAGCAGUGAAAUGCGUAGAGAUCGUAAGGAAGACCAGUGGCGAAGGCGGGUCUCUGGACAGUUCCUGACACUGAGGCACGAAGGCCAGGGGAGCAAACGGG